UGAUGUUGCCACUUGCCAGCGUGGAAUUUGCAGGCCUUCCCUUUUCUUUUGCCUUUUGAGUUUUCGACCCAUUUUUAAAAAAAUUAUUUAUUUGUUGUUAUGGACGUUGAAUUCCAGGUGCAAACUUCUGGAAAGGAAAAAGCAUUGUUAAAUUGACACGGCGGUGUCGCUUUUUCUGUCACCGACCAAAAAAGUUCUAACCACCGUCUUCGAUUACUUUAAUUAAAUAUUAUUUUGAACAAAUGGGAUUAGGGUUACUUGUCUUUUAAGAAAACAAAUGUUUGUGCCUUUGUGGUAGUAAGGUAAUAUCAUGUUUUCUAAGGAGUUUUUCUUUGUCGGUUUCUUGUUACGGGCGCCUCAUCAGUCAUCAGGGUGCGUAAAUCAAAUUCUUCUCGACAGAUCUGGUUGUACAUCGCCAUAGAAAUCAAGCAAUGGAAGCAGGUUGGAGCAUUUUGGGACAGUGGGGGACAAAUGAAGCAAUUUGGGUCUUAUUCUAGCAACGAGGCUUGACAUAGGUGAAAAAUCCCAGAUGUCCCUAUGCAGGUUGUCUCAAAGGCAGAAGCCCAGGCGUCUCGAUGCUCUUAAGUAGAAGAAUAGGGAAACAUUGUUCAAUACUGCAGGCAUUCUUCAACAACGCAUCUCAACAUUGCCGAGAGCGUCUCGAUGCUCUCACAUUUUCUAUAAACGAGUCUUUUUCAUAUGAAAUUAAGUUGAUUCAUUAUUCAGAACAUGAAUGUCCCACAGAUUGUUCUGGCAAUCAUAGAGACAAUUAGUAAAGUACCAACAACUUAAUAAACAAAUAACACACA